UACGAAGGGGGGCUAGCGUUGCUCGGAUUUACUGGGCGUAAAGCGCGUGUAGGCUGCUCGGAAAGUCGGAUGUGAAAGCCCUGGGCUUAACCUAGGAAGUGCAUUCGAAACUUCCGAGCUGGAGUUCUGGAGAGGAAGGCGGAAUUCUCGGUGUAGAGGUGAAAUUCGUAGAUAUCGAGAGGAACACCGGUGGCGAAGGCGGCCUUCUGGACAGUAACUGACGCUGAGACGCGAAAGCGUGGGGAGCAAACAGG
rnacentral:rRNA from 1 species